AUACGGAGGGUGCAAGCGUUAUUCGGAAUCACUGGGCGUAAAGGACGCGUAGGCGGGUUGGCAAGUCAGAUGUGAAAUCCUACAGCUUAACUGUAGAACUGCAUUUGAAACUGCUAACCUAGAGUAUGGGAGGGGGAGAUGGAAUUAGUGGUGUAGGGGUAAAAUCCGUAGAUAUCUCUAGGAAUACCGAAAGCGAAGGCGAUCUCCUGGAACAUAACUGACGCUCAGGCGUGAAAGCGUGGGGAGCAAACAGGAUUAGAAACCCCAGUAGUCC
rnacentral:rRNA from 1 species